CAAUAGCGUAUAUUAACGUUGUUGCAGUUAAAAAGCUCGUAGUUGGAUUUCUGGAGGGAGCGUCGGCCCGUAUUUACGAGUGCGUGACGUCUCUGUCCAUCCUUGCGGGAAGGCACGGCAUUGAUUUGUUGUGUCGGAUCGCAUCAUUUACUGUGAAAAAAUUAGAGUGUUCAAAGCAGCUUUCGCUUGAAUACAUUAGCAUGGAAUAAUAAGAUAGGACUUUGGUGCUAUUUUGUUGGUUGAGCCUAAAGUAAUGAUUAAUAGGGAUAGUUGGGGGCACCUGUAUUGCGUUGUCAGAGGUGAAAUUCUUGGAUUUACGCAAGACAAACAGCUGCGAANGNGUCUGCNAAGGAUGUUUNCAUUA
rnacentral:rRNA from 1 species